rnacentral:hammerhead_ribozyme from 1 species
AUCCAACUGACUUGUCCCAGAUAGAGCGAAACACGUGUCAAACUGGAU